rnacentral:rRNA from 1 species
CGUAAUAACAGAAACUAACCAGGAUUCCCUUAGUAACGGCGAGUGAACUGGGAUACCAAUAUAUUUAUGCGUCUCUGGCGCAUAUUUUUAGCCCGUCGAUACUAUCCUAGCGUAUUACCGGUUUCGGCCGGUAGCCCAAUACGCGGGAAUUGUAGCAUCGUAAUAAAAUAUACACCAUGCCUGCGUCGCAAACGUAUAUACACGUAUACUCACACACACACACAUAUACUCUCGUACGCGUACACACCCCUUGCAAACACACAGCGCUCCCGCGUUGGAAAGCAAGUCUAUAUCCUCUUUGGAUAUGCCAUAGAGUGUGACAGCCACGUUUGAAACACCCUACGUACCGUACACACACAUAUAUAAAAAUACGCGCUGCUUCGCAUACGCAUACCGUAUAUAACCUGACUCGAGUUAUUU